rnacentral:lncRNA from 1 species
GCUGGGUCUGGUGGCACCAAAAUCCAGCACUGUGAGAUCACAGUGGGCCAUCCUCACCCACGGCACACGUCCCUGGGGCUCCUGCAGAACAACUGCCCGCUGCAUCCCCCUUUGGCUUGUGCAAAGAAAGUCACAAUACAUUGAAACUGAAAGGAUAAACUUCUGGAAAGUGAGACAUUCUCUGGUAAGGCAUCUAAAAUUUCUUCAUGAGAUUUUCCUUUGUAUUUGUUGAAGAGGGAGGUGUUUCCAUUUAAAUUUCAAUUUGUCUGCUUCUUAACUUGCACUAACUUUUUAUCUUGCACUAAUAUUAUCUGAUUUUUGUUUCAACAUUAGCUUCUAUUUUAUGAUAUAUAAUUUUGUACCCCAGAAGCAUGUACCAUACCAAACUCCCUAUAAAAUUAUUCCAGUAUUGUUGCCUUGAUGCUCAAUGAAAGCCAAUCUGAAAACAGUCAUUGAAGUCUUUGUUAAAGUUUGUUUUGUGUAUCUUUAAAAUAAAGAAGAAAACAAAUCUGGACA